CACGAACCGUACGAACGUUAUUCGGAAUUACUGGGCUUAAAGGGUUUGUAGGCGGCCUUGUAAGUCAGGUGUGAAAGCCCUCGGCUCAACCGAGGAACAGCGCUUGAUACUGCAAGGCUUGAGGGAGAUAGAGGUGAGCGGAACUUAGGGUGGAGCGGUGAAAUGCGUUGAUAUCCUAAGGAACACCGGUGGCGAAAGCGGCUCACUGGAUCUCUUCUGACGCUGAGGCACGAAAGCUAGGGUAGCGAACGGGAUUAGAUACCCUGGUAGU
rnacentral:rRNA from 1 species